GACGAACGCUGGCGGCGUGCUUAACACAUGCAAGUCGAACGGAAAGGCCCGGCUUUUGUUGGUUGCUCGAUUGGCGAACGGGGGAGUAACACGUGAGUAACCUGCCCUUGACUUUGUGAUAACUUCAGGAAACUGGGGCUAAUACCGGAUAUGAUCUCUUGCUGCAUGUUGGUGGUUGGAAAGUUUCGGCGGUGGGGUAUCGACUCGCUGCUUAUCAGCUUGUUGGUGGGGUAGUUGCUUACCAAGGCUUUGACGGGUAUCCGGCCUGAGAGGGUGACCGGGCACAUUGGGACUGAGAGACGGACCAGACUCCUACGGGAGGCAGCAGUGGGGAGUAUUACACAAUGGGGGGAAGCCUGAUAUAGAAAUGCCGCGUGCGGGAUGACGGGCUUCGGGUUGUGAACAGAUUUGGACUGAGACGAAGAGUGAGUGACGGUAAUGGGUCAAGAAGCAACGGCUAACUACGUG
rnacentral:rRNA from 1 species